GUAUUGUCUUGUGAUCCUGAAAUUGGAAAGUUCAAUGAGAUGACAACUAAUUCAUCUUGUGAUGAAUGUGAACCGAGCAUCCAUGUGGCUUCUGAUUUUGAAAAUUGUAAUCCCAACGAGUCGACUACUAUCUCAACCUAUGACAAAGUUGAGCAGAAUGACCUUAUAGCUUUUGAUUUUGAAAAUCAAAAUCUAAAUGAAGUGACCACUGAUUCAGCUGGCGAUGAAGGAGAAUCACAUUACUAUUUGGGUUUUGAUCAAGAGGAUCAAAAUUCAAAUGAGAUGGCGGC
rnacentral:misc_RNA from 1 species